ACUAGGAAGAAGUGAUAAGGAAGCACUGAUAAGUCAAAAAGGAACUUGAUCAGAAAAAAAAUAACAAUUCGGUUUGAAGAGACGCAGAAAAAUGGUAGGUGCGACACUGUGCCACCUAUUGACGAUUUAUUGAAAGUCAAUGGGUCUG
ensembl:ncRNA B0280.19 ncRNA